rnacentral:rRNA from 1 species
CCUACGGGAGGCAGCAGUGAGGAAUAUUGGUCAAUGGACGAGAGCCUGAACCAGCCAAGUAGCGUGAAGGAUGACGGUUCUAUGGGUUGUAAACUUCUUUUAUAUGGGAAUAAAACGUGCGACGUGUGGUAUUUUGUAUGUACCAUAUGAAUAAGGAUCGGCUAACUCCGUGCCAGCAGCCGCGGUAAUACGGAGGAUCCGAGCGUUAUCCGGAUUUAUUGGGUUUAAAGGGAGCGUAGGUGGAUUUUUAAGUCAGUUGUGAAAGUUUGAGGCUCAACCGUAAAAUUGCAGUUGAAAGUGGCAGUUUUGAGUAUAUUAGAGGUGGGCGGAAUGCGUGGUGUAGCGGUGAAAUGCUUAGAUAUCACGAAGAACUCCGAUUGCGAAGGCAGUUCACUAGACUGCAACUGACACUGAGGCUCGAAAGUGUGGGUAUCAAACAGGAUUAGAUACCCGAGUAGUC